CCUACGGGAGGCUGCAGUGAGGAAUAUUGGUCAAUGGGCGCGAGCCUGAACCAGCAAAGUCGCGUGAGGGAGGACGGCCCUACGGGUUGUAAACCUCUUUUGCCGGGGAGCAACGUGCGUCACGUGUGGCGCCACUGAGAGUACCCGGAGAAAAAGCAUCGGCUAACUCCGUGCCAGCAGCCGCGGUAUUACGGAGGAUGCGAGCGUUCUCCGGAUUGAUUGGGUUAAAGGGGUGCGUAGGCGGAUCGUUAAGUCAGUGGUCAAAUUGAGGGGCUCAACCCCUUCCCGCCAUUGAAACUGGCGCUCUUGAGUGGAAGAGAAGUAUGCGGAAUGCGUGGUGUAGCGGUGAAAUGCAUAGAGAUCACGCAGAACCCCGAUUGCGAAGGCAGCAUGCCGGCUUCCGACUGACGCUGAAGCACGAAAGCGUGGGGAUCGAACAGGAUUAGAUACCCGAGUAGUC
rnacentral:rRNA from 1 species